GUAUGGCAGGAUAAGUUUUUGAUUUAUCUGUUACCGUGUUUGUUGGAAUAUCUUAUUGUAAUAUAUUUGUGAUUUUCAGUUGCCCUGAAUUUCUCGCUUGUAGACACAUGAAUACAUGCAUAUGUGCACACCCCUUCAUGGACCUCUCAGGUUCUUCCAUUUGCACUGCAUUCUGUAGUUGCUUUUUUAAGGGUAUAGAGUUGGAUGUCAAAUACGAAUAAUGUUGUUUAUGCCCUGAAAGUCACUGUGUUGCAACCGGUCAGUCUUGUGCAUUUUCUGAUUAUUCUAUUAUCCCAUUUGGAAUAGAAAAAAAAGCUAUGUUCUGAUGACUUAUGAUUGAGAUGUGUUAAUAUGUGUUUUAGGUAUUUACUAAGUAUCUGAAUUUCUUUGCAAACUGAAGUUUUUAUUUUCAAAUUUUAGACUAAGAAGAAAGGAUACAUAUGGGAGAGUAUAGGAAAAGUUCAACUACAAGUGCUGGUUGCAAUAUUUUGUCUUCGGUUUUGGUUUAAUUUUUAAAACUGUUCAACGUUCCUUUCAUUCCUAUUUCUAUUAGAACGCCCUCUCAUGGCACGUUAUUAAUGGAUCAGAGAUCAGGCUUGGCCAUCAUGUGGAGUUAUGGUCUUAUAGUCAAAGAGGCAUGUAUUUACCAGAAUUGUGGAUGGUGUCUGACCAUUGAGACUGAUUUGACUUUUACCAAUUUGAUAAACAUUUCUGUUUGGUCCAUUCAACUUUUCAUAUUACACUUAAUCAAUCAGACAAGGACAUUGACAUGCUUUGAUAUCCAUCAUGGUUUUGACUUGUGAAACGCCAAAGAUGAUGGCCUCCAAACAGGAUGAAAAUAUAAUCUGUGCCAUGUUUUCUGACAUGCAUACAGGGAUAUUCAGAAAUGCAAAAUGUUCGAUUUGUUCUUGCUAUCUUGCGUUUUUUUGCCUUUCUCUUGAUUUUGUUAUUUGUGUGAUGAAUUACCAGAGAAACUCUACUUGAUUGAUUUUGAGUACGGGUCAUACAAUUACAGAGGCUAUGACAUUGGAAAUCACUUCAGUGAAUAUGCAGGCUACGAUUGUGACUAUAGUUUGUAUGUGUCUAUCCUAUUUUUCUAUUAGCUGUCCUCUUCUUCACAACCACGGUGAAGACAUAGUUCACAAUUUAUUAAUCUCUUGAAUUUUGAAUUUGGUGUUAUGUAGAUACCCAAAUAAAGAUGAGCAAAAUCAUUUCUUCAGGCAUUAUUUACGACCUGACAAACCAGAAGAGGUAUGUGAGUAGCAAGCUUAUACUUUUGCGUCAC
rnacentral:lncRNA from 1 species